AGAGUUUGAUCAUGGCUCAGGAUGAACGCUGGGGGCAUGGCUAAUACAUGGAAGUCGAACGAACUAGCCCUGAACUAAUGAAGUGGUUGGACAGAUUUAGGGACGGAAUUUCUAGUUAGUGGGGGACGGGUGAGUAACACGUAGGUAAUCUACCUUUUAGAUUGGAAUAACUAUUAGAAAUGAUAGCUAAUACUGAAUAGGAUUAUUAAUCGGAUGAUUGAUAAUUUAAAGAAGCUUCGGGUUCACUAAAAGAUGAGGCUGGGGUGGAUUAGCUAGUUGGAGAGGUAAAGGGUCCCCCAGGGUACGAUGGAUAGGCCGGACUGAGAGGUUGAACGGGCCCACUGGAACGAGACCGGUCAGACACUACGGUUGGGAGCGUAGGGAAUUUUUCGAAUGGACGAAAGUCUGACGGAGCAUGGCCGGUGAGGGAUGAAGGUUUUCGGAUUGUAAACCUCUGUUGUAAGGGAAGAACAGUUAUAGUAGGAAAUGGGCUAUAAUUUGACGGUACCUUACCAGAAAGGGACGGGCUAACUACGUGGCAGGCAGGCCGGCGGUAAUACGUAGGUCCCGAGGCGUUAUCCGGAAUUAUUGGGGCGUAAAGGGUACGUAGGGCGGUUAGAUAAGUUUAAUGUUAAAUACAAUGGGCUCA
rnacentral:rRNA from 1 species